GCUACAUCAUGUUGGAACACCAGUUCCCAUACAAUCGCCAAAGUUAAGCAAUAUUGAACCUGGUCAGUACCUAGAUGAGUGACCACAUGAGAAUACCAGGUGCUGUAAG